rnacentral:rRNA from 1 species
AUUGAACGCUGGCGGCAUGCUUUACACAUGCAAGUCGAACGGUAACAGGUUAAGCUGACGAGUGGCGAACGGGUGAGUAAUGCAUCGGAACGUGCCCGAUCGGGGGGAUAACGCAGCGAAAGCUGCGCUAAUACCGCAUACGAUCUGAGGAUGAAAGCGGGGGACCGUAAGGCCUCGCGCGAUCGGAGCGGCCGAUGGCAGAUUAGGUAGUUGGGGGGGUAAAGGCUCACCAAGCCAGCGAUCUGUAGCUGGUCUGAGAGGACGACCAGCCACACUGGGACUGAGACACGGCCCAGACUCCUACGGGAGGCAGCAGUGGGGAAUUUUGGACAAUUGGCGAAAGCCUGAUCCAGCAAUGCCGCGUGCAGGAAGAAGGCCUUCGGGUUGUAAACUGCUUUUGUACGGAGCGAAAAGGCUCUCUCUAAUACAGGGGGCUCAUGACGGUACCGUAAGAAUAAGCACCGGCUAACUACGUGCCAGCCGCCGCAGUAA